rnacentral:rRNA from 1 species
UACGUAGGGUGCAAGCGUUGUUCGGAAUUACUGGGCGUAAAGGGCUCGUAGGCGGCCAACUAAGUCGGACGUGAAAUCCCUCGGCUUAACCGGGGAACUGCGUCCGAUACUGGAUGGCUUGAGUUCGGGAGAGGGAUGCGGAAUUCCAGGUGUAGCGGUGAAAUGCGUAGAUAUCUGGAGGAACACCGGUGGCGAAGGCGGCAUCCUGGACCGAUACUGACGCUGAUGAGCGAAAGCCAGGGGAGCAAACGGG